GACGAACGCUGGCGGCGUGCUUAACACAUGCAAGUCGAACGGUAAGGCCCUUCGGGGUACACGAGUGGCGAACGGGUGAGUAACACGUGGGUGAUCUGCCCUGCACUUUGGGAUAAGCCUGGGAAACUGGGUCUAAUACCGGAUAGGACUCCGGACUGCAUGGUCUGGGGUGGAAAGCUUUUGCGGUGGGGGAUGGGCCCGCGGCCUCUCAGCUUGUUGGUGGGGUGAUGGCCUACCCAGGCGACGACGGGUAGCCGGCCUGAGAGGGUGACCGGCCGCACUGGGACUGGGGUACGGCCCAGACUCCUACGGGAGGCAGCAGUGGGGAAUAUUGCACAAUGGGCGCAAGCCUGAUGCAGCGACGCCGCGUGAGGGAUGACGGCCUUCGGGUUGUAAACCUCUUUCAGCAUCGACGAAGCGAAAGUGACGGUAGGUGCAGAAGAAGGACCGGCCAACUACGUGCCAGCCGCCGCAGUAA
rnacentral:rRNA from 1 species